AUGCCCAAUGGCCCCAUGCGGAUAACCAGUGGUCCCUUUGAGCCUGACCUUUACAAGUCUGAGAUGGAGGUCCAGGACGCAGAGCUCAAGGUUAGUGUGGGAUGAAAGUGGUGAGCAAGUG